UCCAAAGCCUCAGUAGUAGACAUCCCUGGA
rnacentral:piRNA from 1 species